rnacentral:lncRNA from 1 species
GGUUCCCUUUUCUCCAUACCCUUUCCAGCAUUUGUUAUAUAUUGACUUGUUAAUAAUGGCCAUUCUGACUGGUGUGAAUGUAGUUGUAGUUUUGAUUUGCAUUUCUCUAAUAAUUAGUGAUGUUGAGCAUUUUUUCUUGUGCCUACUGGCCAUCUGUGUAUUGUCUAUUCAGGUCUUCUGCCCAUUUUUCAGUUGGGUUGUUGGUUUUUUUGUUUUUGAGUUGUAUAAGUUGUUUGUAUAUUUUAGAGAUAACAAGUUACCCCCAAAUAUAGCAGCUUCAUGUUUUGCUCUUGGCUUUGUGGGUCAGGAAUUCAGGAGUGGCCCUGCUGGGCAGUUAUCUCUUGGGAUCGCUCAUGAAGUUGCAAUCAGAUAAUAGCUGAGUGGCCAUCUGAAGGCUCGCCUGGGCUGGACAUCUGAGUGGGUACACUCAGAUGGCUGCCCAGUGCAGGCUGUCAGCUGGGGUCGGCUGGGGCUGAUAAAUGGAGCACUGACAACUACUUCCCAGCACAGUAGUCUCUGGGUAGUCAGUUUUCUUAAAGAGUGCCUAACUUAUAGCUUCCUUGUGGUAAGUGGUAAGUGUUCCCUGAGAAUUCAGGGAUACAGAUGUGGCCUCAGAAGACACCCACCUUGCUUCUGUUGCAUUCUGUUUGUUACAAGUAUGUGAGACACAAACCCACCCAAAUUAGAGGGGAGAGGCUUAGACCCUACCUUUGGAUAGGAGGAAGAUGAAUUUUCAAUCAUUUUCUAAAAAUGUCACACUAUGACCAGGGCGAUAACCACAUUAAAUUUGAUUGCUUCCUUAUACUGAUGUUUCUCUGGGAUCUUCACACAGAAUGUUAAAAAUAGCCAUAAAAAUGCAAAACAACUAACCAAUUUUUUCUAACAGAUUUAUUGUCAAAGAAGCAACAAGAUGUUCCCACAUAAUGAAAACUGAUAGAUAUCUCUACCUUGACCCUAUAAUUUUGUAGGAAAGGCAUUGUUCUCUACCUGUUCUAUUGAAGAAACUAAAACCUAGAAAGGCUCCCAGUUCCCUAGCUCUUCAGUUGCAGGGCUAAAAUCUGAACUUGGGUUUUUUUGACUCUAAGUCCAAUACUUAAAACUAUGACUCUGAGAGUUUAGAGUUUAUGUGAAUGUCAAUCAUUUCAGUGACAUAUUCUGCCCCAAGACCCUAGAUGCUUUGGAAAUGAGUAUAUCUUACAUCCUAGCAAAGAAUUUCAGGAUAUUCUGACCCAUUUGUCGAAACUGGGCAUUGAGCUAGUGCCAACUUGCUGCUCUUCUGAGCAAAGAAAAUGGAAUAAACCAUCUUUAAAUGUUUAGAACUGCAUCAGAACCCUGCACCCAGGAGGGAAGAAAAUUUGACUCUGAGUGCAGAAUAUCUUUAUCAAUUGCCUGGCUGAAGGAAUGGAAGAUUAAUAAGGAUUAAUGCAGCAAGUGAAAUGAAACUCAAUGGAGUUCCUAAGGGCUCAGGGAUCAUACUAGAAUUCAAUAGUAUCCUGAAAAAAUUAAAAAGGAGCAGGUUAGAAAUGAAAGAAAAUACAGUGGAAACAAAUGUACUAUUGCUCAUCCUAAUGAAAAUCCACCUAGCUGCAAAGGGGGGUGAGGCUGGCUGGACACAACAGUGGUAGAGGCUCGUCCAAGAGCCAAUGGGCACCAUGAGAUGGGGUUAGUCAGCAUGAUUAGUUUCAUCUGUGGAGCUUAGGGGAGGCACUGGAAAAAUUACCUCAAUACAUAAGGGUUUCUCCAACAUCCCCCCCAUUAGGUCACUGACCCUUGUAAUACAGACUCAAAGUUCCGUUGUCUUUUCUUUAGUGGCCUUUAACACCACUGAAAUUUUUUUUAUUAACUUUGGUGGGAUUAUUUGACUGAUAUUAUCUUCCCACUCAUAGUGAGUUCCACAAAACAAGGACUAGAUCUAUCUCACCAUGUACUCAGGGCCUGCCAACAAUGCCUAAAAUAUAGCUGGUGUCUUCUCAAUGUUUAUUUAAUAAACAAAUUAUUAGAAUGAGAAUAAUUUAAACCAUGGGUAGACAAAUGGUGGCCCACUGAUCAAAUACAUCCCACCACCUGUUUUUGUGUGGUUUGUGAGCUAAGAAUAGAUUCUAUUUUCUUAAAUGGUAAAAAAAAAAAAGAAAAAAAAAUAUCAGGGAGUUCCCGUCGUGGCUCAGUGGUUAACGAAUCCGACUAGGAACCAUGAGGUUGCAGGUUCCAUCCCUGGCCUUGCUCAGUGGGUUAAAAGAUCUGGUGUUGCAGUGAGCUGUGGUGUUGGUCACAGACACAGCAUGGAUCCUGCAUUGCUGCGUCCAGUGGCUGCAGCUCUGAUGGACCCCUGGCCUGGAAACCUCCAUAUGCC